rnacentral:rRNA from 1 species
AACCUUGAAAUACCACCCUUUAAUGUUUGAUGUUCUAACGUAGCCCCGUUAUCCGGGGUGCGGACAGUGUCUGGUGGGUAGUUUGACUGGGGCGGUCUCCUCCCAAAGAGUAACGGAGGAGCACGAAGGUUGGCUAAGCAUGGUCGGACAUCAUGCGGUUAGUGCAAAGGCAUAAGCCAGCUUGACUGCGAGAGUGACGGCUCGAGCAGGUACGAAAGUAGGUCUUAGUGAUCCGGUGGUUCUGAAUGGAAGGGCCAUCGCUCAACGGAUAAAAGGUACUCCGGGGAUAACAGGCUGAUACCGCCCAAGAGUUCAUAUCGACGGCGGUGUUUGGCACCUCGAUGUCGGCUCAUCACAUCCUGGGGCUGAAGUAGGUCCCAAGGGUACGGCUGUUCGCCGUUUAAAGUGGUACGCGAGCUGGGUUUAGAACGUCGUGAGACAGUUCGGUCCCUAUCUGCCGUGGGCGUUGGAAGAUUGAAAGGGGCUGCUCCUAGUACGAGAGGACCGGAGUGGACGCACCACUGGUGUUCGGGUUGUCAUGCCAAUGGCAUUGCCCGGUAGCUAAGUGCGGAAGAGAUAACCGCUGAAAGCAUCUAAGCGGGAAACUUGCC